rnacentral:lncRNA from 1 species
CGCAACCCGCGGGAGGUCUGACGGCCCGAGAGCCGCAGCGCCAGGCCCGGGAGCCAGCCCCGUCCACUUCCCCGGUGGAUUCUUCUCCGUUCCCCGCCGGCCGCCCCAGGUGAAGCUCCUUUCCGCCGUCAGAAGGAGGCUCCCAGCGGGAAGCAGCAUCGAGGGCGACCCAGGGCCAGCACGGGAAAUGCCAGGGACCGCGUCAGCCGAGCCUGCUGGAACCCCGCUCCUCGCUGCAGACGCCGUUCCGCCUGAGGACAGUACUCGGGCAUGGGGAGUCAGGUGCCCGCCACAGGAACGCAAGAGACCGCGCCGGACCAGCGAAAAAGCUCCAUGCUCUCCUGGUUUUCCAACCCGACGCCGCGGCCUGCGGCCACUCUAGGACGCCGGAGGGUCCUCCUCUCAGUGGUUGGGGCUGGGCCGCCCUGCGCCGGGAGCCGCCCACCUUCGGGCUGGGCCGGGCCUGGCCAGAGUCUGGGCUAAGCGCAGGGCCUGCAUGAAUCUUCAGCCUGGGAGGUGGGGCAGGAGCACGGAGAAGUCUCGAAGAAGUGGAGGAAGCACGCACUGGCUGCCGCGGGAAAAGCUCAGCCAGCAACUGUAUCAGCUUUACAUUCGACCCUCCUUUGCUGCAUGGC